UACGGAGGGUGCGAGCGUUGUCCGGAAUCACUGGGCGUAAAGGGCGCGUAGGCGGCCUGAUAAGUAGGGGGUGAAAUCCUGCGGCUUAACCGCAGGGCUGCCUUCUAAACUGUCAGGCUUGAGCACAGUAGAGGCAGGUGGAAUUCCCGGUGUAGCGGUGGAAUGCGUAGAGAUCGGGAAGAACAUCAGUGGCGAAGGCGGCCUGCUGGGCUGUUGCUGACGCUGAGGCGCGAAUGCGUGGGGAGCAAACAGG
rnacentral:rRNA from 1 species